rnacentral:misc_RNA from 1 species
AUGGCCACCGCACAAGGCAAGAGAAAGAAGCACAAUAAAAACCAAACCCCAGAAUCUCAAUUCAACUACAAUCUCAACUUUUACUCCAAAUCCAAAGACCUUCGCUCCGCUGUCUCCCUCUAUGAUGCCGCUGUCUCCAACAACACCCGUCUUAGCCAGCACCAUUUCAACACUCUUCUUUACCUCUGCUCUAUCUCUCUCUCUGACCG